UUUUAUUUGAGAGUUUGAUCCUGGCUCAGGAUGAACGCUGGCGGCGUGCCUAACACAUGCAAGUUGAGCGAUUUACUUCGGUAAAGAGCGGCGGACGGGUGAGUAACGCGUGGGUAACCUACCCUGUACACACGGAUAACAUACCGAAAGGUAUGCUAAUACGGGAUAAUAUAUUUGAGAGGCAUCUCUUGAAUAUCAAAGGUGAGCCAGUACAGGAUGGACCCGCGUCUGAUUAGCUAGUUGGUAAGGUAACGGCUUACCAAGGCGACGAUCAGUAGCCGACCUGAGAGGGUGAUCGGCCACAUUGGAACUG
rnacentral:rRNA from 1 species